GUUGUUUGUGUGUAUGUAUCUGUUUAUAGAUGUAUAUACACGUAUUCAUCCAUAUGGUAAAUAUGUUAGUAAUUGUUGUAUAUUCUGUUAGAUUGUUUUAAUCGAUUUAUUUUUAAAUUUAUUUCCCCCAUUAGAAACUAAACUCAUGGAAUCAUGUGCAAUGCUUAUUUGUCUAUACAGUAUCCCUAGUUCAUGACAAGGCGUUUGAAACAAUAAAUAAGUACCUGCUGAUUGAAUGGAGUGACUUGGUCCUGCCAUCUGUAGAGAUGAAUCACUGGCUUAGUCAGUCUGUAAAUAAAAAUUCUGUGUGUGAGUAGAAUUCCAAACCAGGUGCUUAAGAAAAAGCAAAUAGAUAUACAGUACAUGGCUCUCUUCUUUUAAAAAAGAAGACCACACAUUCUUUUUUUAAAAAACUUUAUUUUACAACUGGGCCCAUAGUCCCUUUAUGUAGUCAACUUUGAACAAGCUAAGUAUUAUUUUUAAUACCUACAGCUGUUUUUAAAUCUUUUCAACAUUUGUUUGGCUGUAUGAUAUUUUUUCAAGUAAAGCAAUUUUAAUAUAGCUUGUAUCUCCAUGAAGUUAUUUGAAACACCUGCACAUAACUGUACAUUAGUAAAAUACACCACAUGUUCUGAUUGCACAAAAUAUAUACCCUGAACAUUGUCAAAACCACUAGUGGUAAAAAACAAAACUUUAAAGUUACUACCUUUAUUUAUAAUAAUUAUGAUCUGAAAAGUGUAUCAGUACAAGGAAACAAAAAAGUCACUUUGCACUUUGAAACAUGAGAAAGCAUCUUCUUAUACCAGAUUUUUUAAAAGAACAUAUCAAUGUCUUUUAUCCAUAGCUCAGUGGCAUUAUCAUAUGAAUAACUAGAGAGACCUGGGGAUAAUGCCAACAUCAUGAGGCAGAAAGUUAAAGAGCAAAGAACAGAUGGAGUGUUUUCAUUUAUAGAAAUUUUCAUUUGCCUGGGCAUGGGAGACCAGGAGUUAACAAAUGUUGCCCAAAGGAGCAAAAAAAAAAAAAAAAAAAAAAAAAAAAAGAAAAUGAUAGAUGUAUAGCCCUGCUGCUAUUAUUUGAUUGAAUUCACAUAAUCUAAAACUGUCUGUUCUUUUCUACUCUGAGCAAUA
rnacentral:lncRNA from 1 species